CCUCAACUUCUUAUUCAAUAUUCCUUCACACUAUCUUCUUCUCUUCAUGAGGGUUUAGCAAAGGGUUGCUAACAGAGUUUAUUGGCAUUCUGUCCACCUCCACUUCCUACUCUCUCUCUGAGCCACAUGUUCGUGAAGUUGGAGGUGGGCAUACUGUCAACUGAGUUCUGUUGUCUGCUCUUUGUAAAGCCUUCAUGAUAUUUAUUCAUCUCUCAACAAUUAAAAGGAGUGGUAUAAGGUGUAAACACGGGAUAGCAGGGUGGGUGGCCCUCCAAACUUGCGCUGGAGUGUACUAUGACUAUGCAUCUCACAGCUAGCUAACGGCAAAUGCAUUUUGAAUUUGGUUCCAAGCGUGUACGAUUCCAAAGUUUGCAAGGAAUUUUACCUUAAUUAUGGGACCAUUUCAUUAUUAUGGCAGACUCGUCGCAGUCUUGUACUAUAAUGAGGGAUAUAACACCCCAAGGAUUUUGUUUUGUUUUUCUCUAAUAGAUCUGAUUUUAUUUGGUUUCCUUUUUUUCUGAAAUGGAGUGUUUAGAUGCCAAAGUCCCAAGCACGAGGUGGACCAAUCAAAUGAGGAAGUUGGUUAAAAGUAAUUUCAGAUUUCAGAUAAUAGUAAUCUCGUAAAACUGUAAAAAGUCAGCAUUGUGUGUUCCCUAGAUAGUAGUAUUAUUUAGUCACUGCCUUUUGCUUGCUUGAGGAUAUAUCAUAUAAGUAUAUGCGCGGUGGGUUUGCAGGCAAUCAUGAAUCUUCAAGACAACAGCACACGUUAAUCAAACAACUUUUUCACAAGACUUUUAUAAGCUUUGGAAAGGGCAUGCAACGAUGAGUGCAUGUUUUUUGGAUCAUUAUGUUAAAAUAAGGCUCCCUUUUAAUUUGUUUCAGCCUACAUGUCUUAGUCUUAGAUAUAUAUACAGUGCUUUUAAUUUCAA